UACGUAGGGUGCAAGCGUUGUCCGGAAUUAUUGGGCGUAAAGAGCUCGUAGGCGGCCUGUUGCGUCCGCUGUGAAAUCCCGGGGCUCAACCCCGGGCCUGCAGUGGAUACGGGCUGGCUGGAGGCAGGCAGGGGAGAACGGAAUUCCUGGUGUAGCGGUGAAAUGCGCAGAUAUCAGGAGGAACACCGGUGGCGAAGGCGGGACUCUGGGCCGAUACUGACGCUGAGGAGCGAAAGCGUGGGGAGCAAACAGG
rnacentral:rRNA from 1 species